CCUACGGGGGGCAGCAGUGGGGGAUAUUGCACAAUGGGGGGAACCCUGAUGCAGCGACGCCGCGUGGGUGAAGAAGCGCCUCGGCGCGUAAAGCCCUGUCAGCAGGGAAGAAAAUGACGGUACCUGAAGAAGAAGCCCCGGCUAACUACGUGCCAGCAGCCGCGGUAAUACGUAGGGGGCAAGCGUUAUCCGGAUUUACGGGGUGUAAGGGGGGCGCAGACGGCGAUGCAAGCCAGGGGUGAAAGCCCGGGGCGCAACCCCGGGCCUGCUCUGGGAACUGCGUGGCUGGAGUGCAGGAGGGGCAGGCGGAAUUCCUGGUGUAGCGGUGAAAUGCGUAGAUAUCAGGAGGAACACCGGUGGCGAAGGCGGCCUGCUGGACUGCAACUGACGUUGAGGCCCGAAAGCGUGGGGAGCAAACAGGAUUAGAUACCCGAGUAGUC
rnacentral:rRNA from 1 species